rnacentral:tRNA from 1 species
GCAUUAGUAGCUCAACGCCAGAGCUCCGGUCUUGUAAACCGGUAGGCGGAGGUUUAAAUCCUCCCUCUUGCU